rnacentral:rRNA from 1 species
UACGGGGGGGGCAAGCGUUGUUCGGAAUUACUGGGCGUAAAGGGCUCGUAGGCGGCCAACUAAGUCAGACGUGAAAUCGCUCGGCUCAACUGGGCGGGGUCAGCGGAUACGGCGUAGCUGGAGCAAGCUAGGGGGCAAUGGAAUUCCCGGUGUAGUGGUGGAAUGCGUAGAUAUCGGGAGGAACACCAGUGGCGAAGGCGGUUGCCUGGAGCUUUGCUGACGCUGAGGCGCGAAAGCGUGGGGAGCGAGUCCGG